rnacentral:rRNA from 1 species
AGAGUUUGAUCCUGGCUCAGGAUGAGCGCUAGCGGGAGGCCUAACACAUGCAAGUCGAACGGGAUUGGUAGCAAUACCAUGAGAGUGGCGCACGGGUGAGUAACGCGUAUGCAACCUGCCUUUAACUGAGGGAUAGCCCAUAGAAAUGUGGAUUAAUACCUCAUAGUUCUUUUGAGUCGCAUGAUUUGGAAGAUAAAGCUCCGGCGGUUAAAGAUGGGCAUGCGUGACAUUAGCUAGUUGGUGAGGUAACGGCUCACCAAGGCUACGAUGUCUAGGGGUUCUGAGAGGAUGAUCCCCCACACUGGUACUGAGACACGGACCAGACUCCUACGGGAGGCAGCAGUGAGGAAUAUUGGUCAAUGGGCGCAAGCCUGAACCAGCCAUCCCGCGUGCAGGAUGACGGCCCUAUGGGUUGUAAACUGCUUUUAACAGGAAAGAAACGAGUGGACUUGUCCGCUCCUGACGGUACCUGUGGAAUAAGCACCGGCUAACUCCGUGCCAGCAGCCGCGGUAA